ACAAUAUUAUUUUAUAAACUCAGUCAGGUCUGGAAAGAAGCAGCUGUAAUAAAUAUAAUAUGUGU
rnacentral:SRP_RNA from 1 species